AUGCACUGUGCAGAGCUAAAUUCAUCUUUCGGUGAUCUGUUAAAUUCAUCCACAGGACAGCUGUUGAUUUUGUUUUUAUUUAUUAAUUUGAAAAGUUUUGUAUUGAAGAAUUUGUCAGUACAUCAUUAGUUUAGUUUGACUCAUGUCCUAUGGUAUAAAACCAAAGUUGGGCAGAAGAUGUAUUAUACUACAUCCAAAUCCCUUGUAGAUUGGUUUUUUUUUUUUUUUUUUUUUGAAGAACCUUGUAGAUUGGUUUUGAAAUUCUUAUGUGAUUACCUCAAUAUUUUUCUUAAAUUUCCAAUUAAUUUCGCCAUUA
rnacentral:lncRNA from 1 species